AUUGAACGCUGGCGGCAUGCUUUACACAUGCAAGUCGGACGAGUGGCGAACGGGUGAGUAACGCAUCGGACCGUUCCGAGUAAUGGGGGAUGACUGUCCGUAAGGACAGCUAAUAACGCAUAGUAUUCGAGCUGCCGAUGUCUGCUUUGCUGGUUGGCGGGGUAAAGGCACACCAAGGCGACGAUCAGUAGCGGGUGUGAGAGGAUGAUCCGCCACACUGGGACGGAGACACGGCCCAGACGCCUACGGGAGGCAGCAGUGGGGAAUUGUGGACAAUGGGCGCAAGCCUGAUCCAGCCAUGCCGAGUGUCUGACGAAGGCCGUCGGGUUGUAAAGGACUUUUGUCAGGUAAGCGGUACCUGAAGAAUAAGCACCGGCUAACUACGUGCCAGCAGCCGCGGUAAUAC
rnacentral:rRNA from 1 species